AUCUCAUUGUUGAUGCCUCUUGCAGGCACAUCGUCAACAAAAUUCUGAAUAUGCAUGCUCCUGGUAAAAUUCUGGUGGUAGUAUAAUUUAUGUGCCCUCUUGAGGAGGGCUUAAGUUCAAUGCAGGCCAACUGUUGAGAAACUGCAUUCCCUAUUUUUCUUCUACCAUUUUGUAAUCCUUGGCAGAAUGGUUUGGGGUGGUUCACAACAUCAUCUACUCAUCUGAUGGGAAAUUUGUAUAUGUUAUCUAUCGUCUGACCCUCCAUCAAACUGAUGUUGAGGUAACUUUUUCUUGUCCUCAGAAAUGGUUUUGCAUUUGGCUCUAUUUACUGGAUCUGUUUUGGGUUUACGCUACUCUUCUUUAUUACAAUAUUACUCAGUGUUUCAGGGUAUAUAGUUAGUUGAUCAUGUACUAUGCAUAUGGAUUUUUUUUAAAUGGAUCAUAAGAUUUCUAUGUGGACAUCACAAAGUGAGGAUCCUACUAUCACUCAAUGUUCCAUUGUUGACACAAGCUCAUCUCAGUGUUUAUUCGUCACAUUAACUAAUAGUUCAAGUGUUCUAUAUCCCUGUUGAGUAUACAAGCUUUGGAGAUCAUGUUCAGAAGGCUGAAGGACUCGCUUUUCAUCGAGCUUGUGCCCGUCUUGGUCACUUGCCUUUCAUCGGUAUUUCAUAAUUAACUCAUGUGUAAAGGUACUUCUCUUGACUGGCUUUCUGGCAACAAUGGUGAUGCGUGUGCUCAAAAACGAAUUCAUCAAGUAAGAUCUAAUAUGUGUAUUCUAUUUUCAUCACAUGGAUCGUCGCCUUAAAUGUUAGCAAUACGUGAUAUGUCAUAGGUGCUUACUGUUGAUUAUUCGUGAUGUGGACUUCUGGAGAUAUCUCUUGGUGCGCAGGCCCUUCAUUGGUAUUCCAUAAUGUUGAAAUAUUAGCUUUCUUCCAUCUCUUCUUUUGUUGCUUACAAAUAUUAUUUCUGUGGCAGUGAUACUGCAUCCCCUACACAAGCAUACUCCACGCGUUCUGUAAGGCCUAGAGCUGAGAAUGGUGUGCCUAAUUGGUUGUCCAUUAAUUAGUACCAUGAACAAUAAAUCAAUUUUAUUGUGUGCCCUAAUAUCUUACAGAUUUGUUGUGUGACUGGUGUUGAUAUUGACUUGCAUCCCUUGAACUUGAUCAAGAAUAUUAUACUGAUCUGUUGCUUCAGAAGUUUCACCAUAACAAUUGCUUUUAUUUGAAGUAGAAUAACCUUUCCUAUUUUUUACAUGCGGAAUUCUUCAUGAUAUUGUAUUUUGUAAUUAAUUCUCGUGCAUAUGUAGUUUGAGAAAAUUGCUAAUCAACAACGUCAUGUUGAACACCGGUGUGAAAGGUUUUAUUCCAACAUACUUAAAUAAGUUGUUUUUGCAAUUCUUUAGCAUUGUGAUGGUCUUGAUCUAUUAUCUUAGCAUCAUGUGGUAAGACUGGCAUUUUUUCAAGGAUUCUUCUCACAUGAAGUUUAAAAUGGGUCUCUUCUUUUUUGUUAUUGAAACCUCAAAUCAGGUGGGAGAUGAGUACUCAUUGGUUCACUUGUCAAAUUUUGGGCAUCAACGAUAAUAUGGUCUCAAGUGGAUGCUGCUUGAUGGAUGUGAGUCAUCUUCAACAAGUGGAAGACCCAAGUUGGUUUGCAUCUCUGUUCCUCUUGGAUUACACGAUCUAUGCAGGGACUCUCGUCGAGGUUUCACGCGUGAAGGGCACGGACGCAAGCGUCCUCUCAUUGGAUGGCCAGCCGCAGAUUUGUGGUAGCUGACUACCCUCGUUGCGCAUAUGUGCAUGUAUAUGGAGGUAGGGUCCUCAAGGUGGUGACGACUAACGAGCAAGGAGGAAGGGGGCUAGGUGGUGGAGGCGAGGGCGGUGGUUCUGGUCGACUGUGCCUACCCGUCGCCGCCUUGUCUAAGUGGCACUACUACUGUGAUAUGCAAGCACCUCAGUGCAAUAUAAUAAUAUUUGAGGCCAUUUAAUGGAUUGAACAAUGCUGUGAAAUUGCAAGACGAGCAAGAUUGGGCUCAAAAGGAUGCACUAGUGCCAACAAUUGUUGAACUGACGGUCCCAAACUUCGUGUUGUGAAAGCAUAUAAGGUCAUGCCUCUUUAUUCGACAAGUGGGAUCGUGGGAGUUAAGAAGAUAUGAAGGUGAUCUGUGAAGGGCAAGUCAUCUAGGAAAUCAACAAUCCCCAAGAACCUAAUUUUAGCCUACAAGUUGGACCUCAAGGAGGAAAGGAGCCACAUGUGCUGAUGUGUCACAUGGCGGCACCACCUGCCAUGGGCAGAAAAUUCACCCACGGCACCCACGGCAGCACAAGUGAUAUCAUCUAUGUUUUGUCUAAUGUUUUGUGGAAAUUUUUCUUAAAGAGUGACAUGAUGAUACUGACGUGUUCAUUGAUGCGCUG